GUAAUAUGACAUGGAUGAGAAAUAAUUUACAGGUUCCAUCUCCCUUAAAUCUCACAACUAUAAAGUCUGUGUCGUCCGGUGAAGAGGUUUGAUACAUUUCUAAGAUUAAAUUACCAAAAGAGAAAGAUUACACAUGUUUGAGUGAUGCAAAUCCUGUGCUCUAGGCAAGCAUUUCAUGCAUAACUUACUGCACGGGCUGCGGCUGACUUGUAACAUCAGUUCCGUUUCUGCUCCCAGCCAUUCCUGCCCCGUUAGUGGUUGCCGAGUCACUGAAAGGAAGUUGAGGAUCAGGACCAGAUGUAGUUGAAGAUGGUAUAUGUAACGGGUGUUGGAGUUUGAAUGAAAUUUCAACUCAAAUGUGGGGUAUUGUUGGAAAUUUGAGUAGUUUGAGUAGAAAUUUCUUUGUCUCACAUUGGCCAUUUCCAAAAGAUUUUAUCACUUUAUAAGGCUUUGUCUUUUAUAGAAAGUGAUUGGAAUAAUAGGUCUGGAGACUAAAAUUGGGCUCACCCUUGGAGUUGGGCUUUGGGAUUUACUAAUUAAUUGGUAAUUAAUUAUAAUUAAUAUAUAUUUUUUUCUGUGUUUUAAAUGCCAUGCAGAUGAAUGUAUAUAUAGUGUGAUUAUACCUGUUCGCAACAUGUAUGAGGAAGGGAUGCAUCUGUUGGGAGACAUCAUAAACAUCAUUUCUGAGAGAACCACAUUAAUAUUCGCCAGAAGUCAAUUUUCCGGUGCUGAAAUUUCUGACUUAGAUCGUUGAAUCCUGAUGAAGCAGACGUCCGUAGAACUACAAGCACUGAAUAGGGGCGAAAUUUUUGUUUCAAGGACAUUGCGGUACGCAAGCCUCGAUCUUUUGUUACUCUGCUUAAUUAAUAUUUCAUCUUGUUGAGUCUCUGGAAUAUAUUUAUUCGUAUUUAUUAUUAGCAUAUUUAUUUUAUUGCGGAUUGUUGACAUAUAUCCAACAACCGGUGGUCAAAUUUACAAGCUGGCCCAAAUUUGCAAAUGCCAUAGCGACUGUGAUGUGUGCAAAUGUUCUGAUCCUGGAUUUUGAAACAAAUUUUGUGUGGUCAAUGGCGUGCAAUCAUGUAAUAUGCGAUCAAACUGAGGCUCUCAUAGAGCGGGAACAAUUGUCCUCACAUAGUAUUUCAUUUGUUUUACCUUAAUGUAUCACAAAGUGAAAACCUUUCGAAGAUCGUAUUUCCGAAAUUAUGAACUCGUAAUAAAGGGCAUGCUCAAAGAAGGGUGAACUUACCGGUCUCAAAGGCAGGCCCUUGUCACUGAGUGCGAUUGGGGCGGCUACUGCAGUGCAGUAUGACUUGUUGGAUGGUGAUAUUUGCAAUUAGAUUUAAACUUGCAAUCCCCCGUUCUUAAGAAAUAAGGUACCGUCUGGUACGCAAACGGGACGGAACGGGAUGGAAUGUGUGAAAUUCCAUCCUUAAUUUGUCGUAUAUUAUAUUAUCGAACAUAUGAUUACCAAAUUGUCCUUGAGGCAUGAACGUUGACUUUCGUUGACCGUCUCGUCGUGACGCGUAUUACUAAUUUUCUUAAUUUAUUCUUAUCGUACUCAUCGAUACGAACGCGUAGGCGCGAACGGAUUUGAAUUUGAAGUUAUAACGAAUAUUUUACAUUACGAAACGUCGAACGUUUUUCGAAUAUUUUGUGUUUCGUCUUUAGUGACCUUGUUUUGUGAGCCAUAGGGACCACAUGUUUUCUUCAUUUUUCCUCGUAACCCCUCUCUUCUCUCUUCCAUCUAUUAUUUUCUGAACACUCACUCUCUCCCUCUCUACACUCUUGGCCAUCUCUCAAACCAACCCUCCUAGAGGGGUUUCACUCAAACAAAUCACACAACAACAACCUUGGUACCACCACCAUCACUCCUAUGAACUCAGAAUUGAAAGAGGACCCUCCAAACUCGCUGCACAGCGUUCACCACUGUUCACUGAGUUUUUCGACGAGUUUCCACCUUUUUUGACGAAGGUAAGCCUCAAAACUUGUCCAAAAGUUGUAGAUCGUGUCUUGGUGUAUGUUUACAGGUAGUUUUGAGAAGUUUCGGUGAUGUUUGGACGUAGGAAUCUCAUGGGGAAAACUUCCAUAGUUUUCCCGGUGAAGACAGCCACUUUCGAGCCAUUUUCCGGCCGAACCACGACGAGUUAGUCAUCAAGAAAGGUACCAUUCUCUUCCUCUCAUCGAGAAGUAUGAUUUUCGUUUUUGAAUCACUCAAUGACGUUGAGUAUUGAAGAAGUUAUGAAUGUUUAAAGUUUACCUAGUUUACGGCGAGUUCUCCGGUUUUCCCACGGACCGGUCACACUUCAAGCCAUUUUCCGGCUAUUUUCGGCAACCAUUGGGCUUCCAAAUAGGUAUAAUCUUGUUCGACACUUUCCUAUCUUCAUUUUAUAUAUUAUGGGUCGAAUUUGGUUAAGAAACACGUGAGUUGAGAAGCUUUGAAAAUUACCCAACUUCCAGCCAAAAAUCCCAAUUUCUAGUAUAAGCUCCGACGGCUCGGCUCGGCUCAGCUUCAGCUGACUUCUCAAUCAGUGUCGACCAUUGACUGUCAACAUUGACUUUUGGGUUGACAUUUUUUGGUUUCGGCUGGGACCCCUCCUAGACUAAUUUCGACGUCCUAAUUCCAAAUAUGCGCUUCUUUUUUCCAAAUUCAAUCAUUUUAGUAGAGUUUUAUUAAUUGGUCCCUUCAUGUGCUUAGGUGCAUUUGUUAGUGGCAACCCCGUCCUCUCUAGUUAAAACGGCUCUUCGGCGAUAGAGUAUCUGUUAGUUGACCCCUUCCAAAAUGCAUGAUUUUAUUACUAGAGAUGCAUACAUGAAAAACAUGAUUUUAUGGCUACAUUUUAUGAAACGUUUAUGAGUAAAUUGGAUUUACGCUUUGUGAAAUAUCAUGCUUUAUCAAAUUUAUGUUUACUGAGAUAUUUAUGAAUAUGAUUUAUUGAUAUGAUGUUUGAGCUAUUGAGCUCCGAUGAGAUAUAUUUUGGAAAGAUUAUGUUCAUGAUUUUAUGUGCUUACUUAGUGAAUGAUACUUAUAUAUGCCUUCGGGCCGGUGAUGAAGGGCCUUUGGGCGAAUGAUACUUAUAUAUGCCUUUCGGCGAGUAUGAAGGGCCUUCGGCCGGGCGAGUGAUACUUAUAUAUGCCUUCGGGCGGGUGAUGAGGGCCUUCGGGCAAAUGAUACUUACAUAUGCCUUCCGGCGAAUGAAAUACCACUACUAAGCACACUAUAUAUGAUAUAUGUUUUACAAAGGUUUUAUGGCAUGCUAGGGUUUUCGGAAAACCUAUUACUUAUUAUGCUAUAUGAGUUUCUAAAACUAGGGUUUAGUACGUUAAAGAAUAACUGUUUUAGUAUUACAUAUAUAUAAACUUAGUCCACUCAUGUUUUUUGUUUUGAGCCCCCUUAGGACUUAGGAACAAGGCAUACGACCCAAGCUACAAGGCAUUCCCAUAUCGGUGAAUUUGUGUCCUCUCUGCGUAGGACAUCUCUUGUAAUCGCACCUUCUGAUAUCCCUUCCACUUGUAUUUCGAAUUAGUAGUAAUACUCUGAACAUGUCAUGCAUUAUUACUUUUAAAUUGUUGGCAGUGAACUAUUAUUAUAUUUUCUAUUAAGGUUUGUACUUGAAUAUUACAUUGCGUGGUUAAGCACUAAAUUUAUAUGCAUGUUUCACAUGUUCUUGGCAUAUGCAUUCAUUAAAUGGCUUGCGUCACCCUUGAGUGUCGGCGAGCACGUGGCCAUCCCGUUGGCCUUUGGACACCGGGAUCGGAGCGUAUCAAAAUGGGACGGAACGGGACAGUUGUUCCAUUCUGCAUUUGCAGCUUCCGAGUCACAGAAAGGAAUCUGAUAAUGACGGAUGGUCAAAUCUACAGGUUGGCCCAGAACUGCAAACGCCAAAGCGGCUGUACUCUGUGCAAAUCUUCUGACCCUGGAUUGGAAACAAAUUUAGGAUGAAAGUUUAUGCAAUUGAUGGCAUGCAAUAACGAAGCACAAUAACUGAUCAAACCGAGUAUUUCAUAUAGGAGAGGCAAGAGAGGAACUGUUAGUUAAGAAUCCUUCUAUUUUGAAAGAGACAUCCAUAACUUUCAUUACAAAUUAUUUUUCGCAAGGUCAAAUGAGUCUCAGUAAUAUACAUUUUCUUGGUACAUUGCUAAUUAUCCAAGGUACACUAAAAUUUGCAAAAAGACUUCAAUUCCAAUAUUAUCCCAUCACUUAAUCAAAAUAAAAAGUUUGAAUAACAAGUGGUGGUUAGUUAUUAAUGCUGUCAAGGGUGAAAAAAUAUGCACAUUGGCAAACGGUGAACUCAUUGGCCCAAAAGAGAAUAACUUAGAACUUAAAAACCAACCUUCUGUGCUACUUGUAUCACAAAGUGAAAAACCUUUUUGAGAUCAUAAUCCAUAGUUACGAAUUCUGUAUAAAAAGAACAGUUCGAAGAAGAGUGAACUUACUGGUCUUAAAGGGAGGCCCCUGUCACUGAGUGCACAUGAGGGGGUCGCUGCAGUCUGAUUUUUUGGAUGGUGAUAUUGGCAAUUAGAUUUAUUAUCACAAUCCCCUGUUUGAGCGAAAUAGAAGCAAACAGGUUGCCCAGGUCGUUCUGGUAAUUCUUCAGCUUGCGUCUGCUGUGCAUAUUGUCCGUAGUAGUUGGUUUCAGUCACCGAGUUGUUCGUAACAUAUGGUGGAGGUGCAGGCAUGUUUCUAUGAACAUAUGGUGGAGGUGGUGGAGGUGGUGGAGGUGGAGGUGGAGGUGGAGGUGCAGGCAUGCUUGGUAGAUAUGCUGGAGCCUAAACAUGUUUUGGCCAAUACAAAAUUAGAGAGAAAAGCAUGUUUUUGAAAAUGCAAACGAGAACAGCAGUAAUUCUAUAAAUUCUACAAAAAAAAGGGGCUAUUCUUACUUAUACCCACAAACUAAUACGGAACCCAAAUAAGAAGUCUAGAUGUACCGAUGUGAAAAUGUAAGCAUAUUACCACAACUGAUGUAGACAACAAUUUGUUAUCAAUAUUCAAAUCUUCAAGAAUUUAACUUCUUUACAAAGAAUAUUAGAAUAUCACAAUAAGUCCUUAAUGUAGGACCAUAUUAUUAUUUUUAUGAGCCGAACAUGAAUAAAAAGGGCAUGAGAAGAAAAAAAAAAAAAAGAGGUCAAAACACAAAAAGAUCCGACUAUUAUCCCAAAAGAGACGGUAAUUCGCAUAUCAAAAAGUGAUGAGAGUUAUUUAAAUUUUAAACCCAAGACUUUAAUAAGGGAGUGAUGGCUAAAGUACCUGAUAACCAUUCCAUUCUGUAGUUUCAGAAUUAAUCCCUUGAGAAUUUGGCAGACCUUGUAAUGAUGCAGGCCUACCAUUACCAUACGCGGAUUGCGGGUGAGAUUCUCCAGCAGCUGUAGGAUCAGGGUGGUUAAACUUGCAGUUUAUUCCGUACUUGCAGGUCCCAGUUCGCAUAUAGUAGGAACAAUCUUUCUCCCCCUGUAAUACGUUAAAACAAUUAUUCAGCAAACAUAUGGACACAUUAAAUUGGUCCAAAAGAAUAAGAAAAUAAGCAAAGAUAAAAUCUUAAACCUUAAACAUCAUGAAUAGAUAGAAAUUCAUUCCUCAAAUUUUUACAGAUCAAAUCUAGAGCUUAUACCGGACGAAUUGGCAGGUCCGAAAAAUUAAGUUCCAGAGCUGGAGCUACAGAAGGUACCCCUAUACGUCGUCCUGGGCUGAUGUAAUACUGCAACAAGCUUAAGUGUUGUAUUAAGAUCGUGAAACUGUUACUAGGCCACCACGUAGCACAGAUUUGAAUACGAGGGUACAAAGGGAAAGAAAUGUCUUUGACAUUUAAAAACAUAAUUGUAAUCCUGUAUAAAAAGGAAAAUGUAAUUGUAAUGUAACAGCAUACAAUUGUGAAAACACAUCGACUAUAAGUUGAUCACGUUCAAGACCCUCAUCAUUCUAUAGUUAGCUACAAGAUGAAAAAGGUUUAAGCUUGUAUAUUCACUAGCGCAUUCUAACCAACUAGCUUUCAGAUAACCAUAUCGAAAAACCCCAUCGUCAAAACACAACAUAGUACUUGAAAUCAAAUAUGCGAAGUAAAACAAAACUUAAUGAUGUAAAACAUGAAAACCAAGCAAUUGCAGUAAAAACCAGAACUUCGGAUAGAUAAUAACCUUGCUUUCGGUCUGGUCUUGCUUCUCUUCCAACUCUUCCCUCUGCUUUGCCUUGUCCUUCGACACCUUCAAAUCAAUAUGAUAAAGUUCAAAACACCAAGAAACACAAAGUGAGCACCAACGACACAAUUAUUUCCUGCAUUCAUACAAGGCCAGAUGCAUUAAUGUCUCAAAUACUAAAUGCAGGCCCAAAGUCCCGAUUUGUUUCAGAUACAUUUCACCACAACGAUGCACGUGAAAGAAAAACAUCAUCUUUAACAAAUAAAUGCGGAACAAGAGAGAUAUACCUGCUUGUUUUUCCCUAUCCGAGGGUGAUUAUACUUGCAAUUCGAUCCGAACUUACAAAUGCCAGUCCUCAGAUAGUUCCAACAGUCUCCAAGCCUCAAUGGGUACUGAUCCCUUCUGCUACUCUCCUCAACAACCUCCUCCCCCACCUCACCACCAUUCUCAUUCCCUCCUCCGCUGCCACUGCUGCUACUGCUUUCGCUCUUUUCCCUCUCUCUCUCCUUCUCCUCUUCUUCUUUUUCCUCAUUUUCCUUCAAACUCAAUUUUCGAAUCCCAUCAACGAUGGAAGGAUCGAAGUUCCGAUCCUCAUCCAGGAAGGCGGGGUCGAAUUGCUGAAUCUCAUCGAGCACGGCGGGGCCGAGUGUCCCAAUCCAAUCAAGGAUUUCAACAACGGACGGCUCAGGAGACGGAACGGACGGCUCAGGAGACGGAACAGACGGGGGAUUUUGAGGAACGUCUACGCUUUCAGAAAUUUCCCAAGGGAAAGCAGGGUCCAAGUUCCGAAUCUCAUCAACGAUGGAAGGAUCGAAGUUGCGAAUCUCAACGGCGGGGUCGAAUUGCUGAAUCUCAUGGAGGAGGGCAGGGUCGCGAUUCCUAAUCCUAUUGAGCACGGCGGGGUCGAGUCUCCGAAUCCAAUCAAGGAUUUCACGCUCGAGAUCGGACGGCGCAGGUGACGGAACAGACGUCGGAUUUAGGGGAACUUCGGCGCCUUCAGAAAAUUUCGAUUUUUGUCCGGAUCUGAAGUACUUAUAAAUUACGACCAGCACUGACAGUGACACCGGUAGGAGGACACGCGCCGCUGUGAACAUAGUUUUUGUGCUGAUGGCGGCGGCGGAUGCGGCGGCGACGGUAGCUGAUAGGACUCCAGUUCACAGAGGAAGAAAUAAAAGGAAGACAGCUAAGUUAGGUAGAAAAGUUAAGGCAUUUUCAUUUCAUAAUCCGAGGAGAUACAAUUGGGGGUGCUUAUAUAUAACCCAUUAGCCAACACAAACAAAAGGCUCAAGUGCUGAGUCAUCCUCUAAUAACUACUCUCACUACAAUACAGGAUAGUAAUAAAAGGUAAAGAAGGUGGACCCGAUAAGGUUCUAACAUGGCUCUCCCCCCUUAACAAGCCUGUCCGCAGGCGUUAAACCCAGGAAAACGAGUUAAGAUAGAGUCGGCAUCCUCCCACGUAGCAUCAUGCUCCGGAAGACCUUCCCAUUUAAUGAGCCAACGGGUGAUUGCUCGAUUGUCUUGCUUGAACAUGCCACGCUGAAGUAUCUUUUCUGGGGUCCAGAUGAAGGCACCAGUCAAGGAAACUGGGGGAAGAGUUGGUGAUGCAACUGUAUAAGCACCCACAUUGGGUUUAAGUAAGGAGACAUGGAAGGUAGGAUGAAUGCGAGAGUGAGGAGGCAGGUCCAGAGUAUAUGCCACUUGACCCACGCGAGCAAGCACCUUGAACGGUCCAUAGUAGCGAGGAGCCAAUUUAGGGCAAUGCGUCUUAGACACUGAUGUCUGGCGAUAGGGUUGAAGCUUGAGAAAGACCCAAUCCCCAACUGAAAAGGUUCGCUCCGAACGAUGUUUAUUAGCCUGCUGGCGCAUCCGAUGUUGAGCGAGGUGCAGGUUCUCCCGCAAUUGCCUGAGCAGGGCAUCGCGAUCUCGAAGGGUGACAUCAACCAGAUGAACCAGAUAAGAGCCAGGAAGAUAGGAGGACACCGUUGGUGGUGGGUAGCCAUAGACUGCCUGAAAAAAGGUCAUUUGAAUGGCAGCUUGAUAGGUAGUAUUAUACCACCACUCGGCCCAAGGAAGCCACUGUAUCCAAUCAUUGGGUUUGUCCCUUACAAAACUGCGCAGAUAUUGUUCAAGGGUGCGAUUGAGCACUUCGGUUUGGCCAUCGGAUUGUGGAUGAUACGCCAAGCUCUUGCAAAGAGUGGUGUGCUGCUGUUUAAAGAAGGCAAUCCAAAAAUCACUAAUAAAGACUGGAUCCCGAUCACUCACUAUGGAAGCCGGCAUGCCAUGAAGGCGAAAGACUUCGUGAAUAAAGAUAUCAGCGAUUUUGGCCGCCGAGUAUGGGUGUUUGACCGGAAUGACGAUCCACUACCACGAAAAUAACGUUGCGCCCAUGGACCGAAGGAAGGCCUUCAAUGAAAUCCGUGGCAAUGUCGUGCCAUACGUUGGUGGGAAUGGACAGAGGUUGCAAGGGGCCUGGUGGUUUAAUCGUCUCAUACGUUGUACACUGGCAGGUGUCACAGGCAGCCACAAACUUUUUAACAUCUUUUUUUAGCCCCGGCCAAUUGAAAUUGAGUGUUAACCUCUUGUAAGUGCGUAGAAAGCCCGAGUGUCCCGCAGAUGGUGAAGAAUGAAACUCAGCAAGGAGGCGUGCUCGCCAAGGGGAAGAGGCAGCAACAAAAAACCCCCUUCUUAUAGUAUAAGAGAUCGCCGUGGAGUUUAAAUAAAGCAUGACGCUCCAGGUCCUGUUGCAAGGCCGCCAACAGUGAAGAGGCCUGAGGAUCAGUGGCAUAGUCUGCUUGUAUCGCAGCGAUACAAUCAAAAAGAGGCUGAGAUAGUCCCAUUAACCCAAGAACCUCAGGACGUCGGGAAAGAGCAUCAACAGCGGCGUUCGAAGUGCCCGGCCGAUAUUCCAGCGUAUAGUUAUAACCAAGUAACUUCAACAACCACCUUUGUUGAGUUGAAGUAGUGAUGCGCUGAUCAAGGAAAUAUUUCAAAGUCUGGUGGUCAGUAAGGAUCCGGAACUGAUGGCCUAUCAAAUAAGAACGCCAUUUUUGGACCGCAAAGACCACCGCCAACAUCUCCUUAUCAUACACCGAAAGAGCCUGGUGUUUUGGAGCUAAAGGUUUGUUAAGGAACCCAAUGGGAUGACCCUCAUGUGAUAAGACGACGCUAAUACCACUAUCAGAGGCAUCGCACUUAACCGUAAAUGGUUUGGUGAAGUCUGGAAGAGCGAGGACCGGUGUGGAAGACAAUGCCUGUUUGAGGGCCGAGAAGGCCUGAGCAACGUUGGUGGACCAUUGGAAACUGUCAGUGCGUAAUAAGUCCGUAAGUGGUCGUGCUAUUAUGCCAAAAUGAUGGACAAAUUUGCGAUAGUAGCCUGCGAGACCCAAAAACCCACGAAGGGCCCGAACAGUGGUUGGUGUCGACCAAUCUGAAAUCGCAGAAAUUUUAGAGGAAUCCACGACCACCCCUGUGACGGAUAUAAUGUGUCCCAAAUACGCAAUUGAAGGCUGGCCAAACAGACACUUCGAAUGCUUCAAUUUGAAUUGAUAAGUGCGUAAGAGCUCAAACACCUUAGCUAAAUGUGAGACAUGUUGUUCCACAGAGGCACUGAAAACCAAUAUAUCAUUAAAGAAAACUAUCACUGACUUAUGCAGCAAGGGCUUCAGAAUGGAAUUCAUUAAUGCCUGGAAGGUGGCUGGAGCAUUGGUCAGGCCGAAUGGCAUGACCGUGAACUCAUAGUGCCCCUCAUGUGUUCGGAAAGCGAUUUUAGGAAUGUCCGGUUCAUGCAUCCGUAUCUGGUGAUACCCCGAACACAAGUCGAGCUUCGAAAAUAUAACAGCACCCCGUAACUCGGCCAAUAAUUCAUCAAUAAUAGGGACUGGAAAACGGUCUUUGAUAGUGACAGAAUUCAAAACCCGAUAGUCCACACAAAACCUCCAUGUAUUAUCCUCUUUGGCCACUAAGAGCGUCGGUGAAGAAAAUGGGCUGUGACUGGGCUUGAUAAUACCCGUAGCUAACAUUUCCUCCACCUGCUGUUCAAGUUCAGCUUUUUGAGCAUGUCCAUAAUGAUAGGGUCUCAUAUUCACGGGGCCAGUUCCCGGAAGCAGAGAAAUCCGGUGAUCAAUGAGCCGGUGAUGGGGUAGGGUAGUGGAGGCUUAAAAAAUGUCAGAAUACUGGAGUAGUAAGGCUUGAAGGAUGUCGGGUAGUGGUGCUGGAUGAUAUAACCCUGUUGGUAAAUUGGAGAUCUGCGCCAUAAUAUGGAAAGGGUUCCUAAGGGAAGGAUCCAAGGAAGACAAUGGAGGUAUGGCCCCGGCUGAAUGGGCUGAAGAACCUACUAGACGAUAAUUGGUGCCCUGCACAGUGAACUCUAUGACUUUCAGAAGGAAGCCAAUAAGGCCCAAUGUUUCCAACCAAUCCACUCCAAAAACCAUGUCACACCCGACUACUGCCAGAAGGUGGAAGUCAGCACGGAAGUCAUACCCCCGAAGGUGAACAGAGACAUUGCGAGCCAUACCCUUUGUGCGAAAGUAGCGGCCCGUGGCCACCAUCACGGCCUCAUUGGAAGUUGAAUCAAUUGGAAGACCUAAACGGGCAGCGACCUGAGGAUUAAGAAAACUCUGGUCAGCCCCAGAAUCGAUGAACACUUGAAUCCGAGUAUGGUGGAGGACGCCUUCCAAAUGCAUAGCUCGUCCCCGGGAACGCUUUGUAGCCGAGAUGGCAUUGAGAGCAAUAGGUGGCGCCGGUUGGUCCCCUAUGGAAGGGUCAAGUGGGUUGGAGGUCUUGGGUUUCGACUGGAAGUCAGAGAAAUCCUCAUCCGCCAAAAGCAUGAGGAUGUGGGAUUGCCGACAACGAUGACCCGGCCAAUACUGCUCAUCACAAUUAAAACAGAGCCCAUGUUCCCUCCGUGCGCGCAUUUCGGCUUGGGCGAGGCGUAAUAUGGGCUUAGGGGGAAAAGUCGGUGUGGCGGCCGGUAAGGAACGGGAAGCAGGAGUGGACAUGAAGGGCACAACGGUGGAAUGAAAGAAAGGUUUAGAGGGGGUGGAGGAGGACCGAGGAAAAUGGUGUAUGGUCGUAGGACAGAAUGGAAGGACCGGCUACAAACGGGGUAGUGCGUGAGGGAGAAGGGGAAGUGCUCCAAGUGGGUAGGGGAAGGGUGGUGUGGGCAAUGGAAAAGGGCCCGCAUCCGAGCGAAACCGGAAUGGAACCAAUCAGAAUCUAGGGACUGGGUUGGGUUGUGGGUGGGUGUUUUAAAGAUCGAAUCUCCUCGAUGAGGGUCUGCUGAAAUUUACUUUGUUGAGUCUGGUGAACAUUUAGGCUGGCGAGAGACUGUUGCAGAUCCGCCAUAUGAUGCUGAAAAUCAUCUUGACGGAGGUUUAUCAGCGUCAUUGCCUCUUGGAAUCCAUGUAGUUGGGUGAGGAUUUGCUGCUGCUGAAAGUCCAGGUCAAGCUCCGCCUCGGAAACCUCGGCCACCGUCACAGAGGCCUUGCUCUUGCCCAUGGACGCCCAACUAGGCUCUGAUACCAAUUGAUAGGACUCCAAUUCACAGAGGAAGAAAUAAAAGGAAGACAGCUAAGUUAGGUAGAAAAGUUAAAGCAUAUUCAUUUCAUAAUCCGAGGAGAUACAAUUGGGGGUGCUUAUAACCCAUUAGCCAACACAAACAAAAGGCUCAAGUGCUGAGUCAUCCUCUAAUAACUACUCUCACUACAAUAAAGGAUAGUAAUAAAAGGUAAAGAAGGUGGACCCGAUAAGGUUCUAACAGUAGCUGAAACUGGGUUGCUAGGUUUUGUUGUGAACUUGCAACUAGCAACUACGUUUAUGGAUGAAACAAAUUCUCUCAUAUCUGCUUUGUCUAGAAGCUGCUUUAGGAAAAGUGAUUCUGUAUUAAUUAAUAAAACACUCGUUAACCAAAAUCAUGUGAAAUUAUCAAUUUAAUCCUUUAAUUAAAACAUAACAUAAAUAAGAAAUAUAAGACAUAAAUGUAAUUUCAUAUUACUAAAUUUUACUGUUUUUUUUUUCAAAGCCUCACCUACAUACACUCCCACAUUCUCUAUCACUCUCUUCCACUCUCUUCCACUCUCCUUCUAUUUGAAAAACCCAAAAAAAAAAAAAAAAAAAUUCUCACACUUUGUGUGCGCCCAUAUGCUAGUCUCAUAAUAACAGAAUGACUUACAUGGAUCGAAUACACUUCCAAGCAGUCGCUGGUUUAGAAAAUAUUGCUACAAUGUGACGAUACUUAAAACAAUAAUGCGUUGACAUAUAAGAUCUAUGUGUGGGCUAAGUCCUUCAUAAUAAUACUCAGAAUUUUGAUUCCUUCUUAUUCAUCUCUUGAUUAAUUUGAUCAAUCAUUCCAAUUCCUUCUUAUUCAUCUCCUGAUUAAUUUGAUCAAUCAUUCCAAUUUCGAAUUAGUAACCGCGUCGUAAAAAUAUUUUUAACUCUCAAACAAAAUUUCCCAGUUAUUUCAGGCUGAGUCAACUCUCUUUACUCUCCAUUUUGGUUGUCCUAGGGUUUUUUUUUUUUUUUGGGUCAAAGGUUGUCCUAGGUUCACUCGUAUGACCUAGGUUUGCUAGUCCUAGGUUCUCCAUCACCUUCACAGCUCCACUCAGAUGCCGUGACCUACAAACAUGCUAUUUUGUAAUAUGGGUUUGUCUUUUAGCUUGGUGUUGUAUAUGCAAAUAUAACCAGUGUUACAUGCAAGAUAGACAAUGCACGUAACGUCGCCGCAAGUCCGAUACAUAACAGAAGAUCCCGGCACAUGUUUUAUCGAUCGAGAUCAACAACCGAAUCAUUUGCGAUACUCGGGAUAGGCAGCGACAACGAAAUUGAAAGGAUAUUCUCGACUAAAGUACUUUCCGGUUAUAUGACAUGGAUGAGAAAUAAUUUACAGGUUCCAUUUCCCUUAAAAUCUCACAACUAUAAUGUUUGUGUCGUCCGGUGAAGAGGUUUGAUACAUUUUUAAGAUUGAAUUACCAAAAGUGAGAUUACACAUGUUUGAGUGAUGCAAAUCCUGUGCUCUAGGCAAGCAUUUCAUGCAUAACUUACUGCACGGGCUGCGGCUGACCUGUAACAUCAGUUCUGUUUCUGCUCCCAGCCAUUCCUGCCCCGUUAGUAGUUGCCGAAUCGCUGAAAGGAAGUUGAUGAUCAGGACCAGAUGACGGGUGGUCAAAUUUACAAGCUGGCCCAAAUUUGCAAAUGCCAUAGUGACUGUAAUGUGUGCAAAUGUUCUGAUCCUGGAUUUUGAAACAAAUUUUGUGUAAUCAAUGGCGUGCAAUCAUGUAAUAUGCGAUCAAACUGAGGCUCUUAGAACAGAGGGAAGAGAACAAUUAGUUAAUAAUAUUUAUGAUUCGGGAACAAUUGUCCUCGCAUAGUAUUUCAUUUGUUUUACCUUCAUGUACCACAAAGUGAAAACCUUUCUAGGAUCAUAUUUCGAAAUUAUGAACUCGUUAUAAAAGGCAUGGUCAGAGUAGGGUGAACUUACCGGUCUCAAAGGCAGGCCCUCGUCACUGAGUGCGAUUGGGGGGCCUACUGCGGUGAGUUUUUGGAUGGUGAUAUUUGCACUUAGAUUUAAACUUGCAAACACCCUUUCUUAAGAAAUAACUGCAUAAGGGUUGGCCAGGUCGUUCUGGGAACUCUUCAACUUGAUUCUGGUGUGGAUGUUGCCUGUAGACGUUGGUUUCAGCCACUGAGUUGUUCAUCAUGUAUGGCGGACGCGCAGGCAUGCUUCUUUCGGGUGCAUAUGCGGAAGCCUAAAAGUUCACAACGAAACACAAUAGGGAUGCCAAUUAACAAUAGAGACCUCACAAACUGAUAAGGAUGCCAAUUGACGAGUUGUGAAUGCAGAGAUAUGAACUAAAAAAAUUACUAUAACUGUUGCAGACAGCAAUUUGUCAAACUAUUGGGAACUUUAAGUCCUGGUUAUAUAUAAAAAUUCAUAGCAAAUGUGGUCGAGCAAAUUAUUAAUUUAUGAGCCAGAAAUGAAUAAAAAGAGAAUGGCUGAAAAGUAUAAGAAAGUUAAACAUACAAAAUGAUCGUGAUCUCUUAUCCCUGAUAAAGUAUUAACUGGUAUAUCAAAGUGAUCACAGUUAUUCAAACACGAGACUCUGAGAUGGGAAAGUUAAAUAAAAGAACCUGAUAACCAUUCCAUUCUGAAUUUUGAGAAGAAACUACUUGAGGUGGUGGAAUCAUCAGUGUCGAGUAAACCGGAUCCUCAUUCAAUGGCCUUGGUGCAGACCAUGGUGCCACUGUUGAUUGUGAUGCACCUUGUAAAGAUGCAGGACCACCAUUACCAUAUCCAGAUGGGGGAUCAGAUCCUCCUGUAGCUGUCGGAUCAGGGUGGUUAAACCUGCAGUUCGAUGCAUACUUGCAGGAGCCAUUUUGCAUAUAGUACGGACACUCCCUUUUACCCUGUAACAAUUAAAAAUAAAUAUUCGCAGUAACUGACAGAAACAUAAUAAAUAGGUCCAACAAACCAAGAAAAUAAGCAAAGAUAAAAUCUUAAAAAUCAUGAAUAGAUAUUCAUUUCUCAAAACUUAGCAAGUUAGAUAUAAAGUGUAUACCGGUCGAAUUGGCAGGCCCAGAAAGUUAAGCUCAAGCUUCCCUUUGCUGUGGCUGUAUCUGCAAUUUUCCCCAUGCUUACAUCCACCCGACCUCAAGUAAUACUGCAACAAGCUCAAGUGUUAUCUCAUCAUGAAACUGUUACUAGUCUGCCGUACACAUUGCAGAUAUUUGGAUAUAAGGCACAAAGAGAAGAAUUGUUACUGACAUCCGAAAGCAUAAUUGGAAUUACUGUAUAAAGGAAUACAAGAAUGUCAUGAAAAAAGCAUACAAUUUCAUGAAAACCCAUCCGGUGGAGAUUGUCUAACUACUCAUCAACUUGCUAUAAUUUAAUCAAACGGAUGAAAUGCCUCCCCAUACAACAUAAACAAAUAAAGUUCAAAAUCUCAGGAUUAUGCACUAGCCACAAGAUAAAAGUUUUUAGCUUUUUGUUUCGGUUAUGCAUGCCAACCUAAUUUUCAGAUAAGCGGACUCAGAAAACCCCACCAUCAUAACAAUGACCGCUAGGAUACCAAAUACAUAAACUAAAACAAAAUAUAACGAUUUGUGAGACGUUGAUCAAAUAACUGCACUAAAAACCAGAACUUCAAAUAUAAAAUUUCUGUGAAUCACAACAAUAAUAACCUUGCAUUCCGUCUGGCUUGGAUUCUCUGCCGACUCGUCCAUAUCCUUGACGCUUUCCUUGGGCACCUUCAAUAAGAACAAGUCAAAACACCAACAAAAAUGAAAGAUGAGGCCACGAAAACACGAAAAGUCUCAAUCUUUCUACCAUAAACAUACAUAUGCAGAUGCUAAGAGCAACUCCAGCCCCCAACACUCUAAGCUGGGCAACAGCCCAUUUUUUCCCCUCCCUCCCCAAAAACCCAGUCCACCCCAAUCAAUCCGCUGGGCUCCGGGGAAGGCCAGCAAGCUGCCCAGCAGAAAAUCGGCUGACUCAAUACCCGGCCUACUUGACGCCAUGCUCACGUCAUCGAUUUUUUAUUUUCUCCCGACGGAUUUCUCCCUCCCCUGCGACGACCAUCGGGAAACCUGGAGAAGGUUUGGCGAACCCAGCCUUCGAGGGAGGUCGAGCCUUCGCCGUCGCCGUCGAGAACCCAGCAUCCACAUCGUGCUGCUCGCCUCCACAUCCCCAAAUCCCAGCCUUCGAGGGGAAAAUUGUGGAAAUUCCAGGAACAAAGAAGAAGAAAUGGAUCGGAGGACUGCUCCUUGGAAGGGAUCGGGAAAAGGUGGGAGACUGGGAGAGUUUCCAGGAAGAACGAAGAAGAAGAAAGAAGAAAUAGGAAAAUAAAAAAUAAAAUUAACAAUAACAUAUUUUUAUUUUUAUUAAUUUUUAAUUAUCAAUUACCAGAACAAUUAUUUUACGAGGCAGAGAUAUACUCUAUUGAUUACUAUUUAUUACAGUCAAUUAUUCUUCAUUUGAGUAGAUUAAAUUUACUAUUGCCUAGCAAGAUUUUUAGGAUGGACUUGCUUUAAAAAGAAUAUGCGCAUUAAAUUGUCAAUAUAAUAAUUAAAAACAAAAUUAAAAUAAUAAAAUUAAGCAUGUUGUAACUAAUUUUUUUCCGUAUUUACGAAAAGAAUUAAUUUUAUUUGUUCAAAAAAAAGAGUUUAAAUUUUUUAAGAUGCCUCAUAUUAAUUAAAUUUCUGACUUGGUUGCUACGGAAAUGCUAAAUGCGGAACAAGAGAGAUUUACCUGCUUGUUUUUCCUUCUCCGAGGGUGAUUAUUCUUGCGAUUCGACCCGAACUUACAAUUGCCAGUCUUCAGAUCGUACCGACAGUCCCCACCUUCCGGCCUCAAUGGGUACUGAUUCCUUCUGCUACUCUCCCCAACAACCUCCUCCUCCACCCCACCGCCAUUCUCAUUCCCUCCUCCGCUGCCGCAGACGCUGCUGCUGCUUUCGCUCUUUUCCCUCUCUCUCUCCUUCUCAUUUUCCUUUUCCUUUUCAGUCUCUCUCUCCUUCUCCUCCUCUUCUGCUUUAUCCUCCUUUUCCUUCAAACUCAAUUUCCGAAUCCCAUCAACGAUGGAAGGAUCGAAGCUCCGAUCCUCAUCGAGGAAGGCGGGGUCGAAUUGCUGAAUCUCAUCGAGCACGGCGGGGCCGAGUGUCCCAAUCCAAUCAAGGAUUUCAACAACGGACGGCUCAGGAGACGGAACAGACGGGGGAUUUUGAGCAACGCCUACGCUUUCAGAAAAUUCCGAAGGGAUAGCAGGGUCCAAGUUCCGAAUCUCAUCAACGAUGGAAGGAUCGAAGUUGCGAAUCUCAACGGCGGGGUCGAAUUGCUGAAUCUCAUGGAGGAGGGCAGGGUCGCGAUUCCUAAUCCUAUUGAGCAAGGCGGGGUCGAGUGUGUCGAGUGUCCGAAUCCAAUGAAGGAUUUCAUGGUAGCGAUCGGAUGGCGCAGGAGACGGAACAGACGUCGGAUUUAGCGGAACUCCGACGCCUUCAGAAAAUUCCGAUUUCUGUCUGGAUUUAUAGUAAUUAUAAAUUGCGACCAGCACUGACAGUGACAACGGUAGGAGGAAACGCGCCGCUGACAACAUAGUUUUUGUGCUGAUGGCGGCGGCGGAUGCGGCGGCGACGGUAGCUGAAACUGGGUUGCUAGGUUUUGCUGUGAAUUUGCAACUAGCAACUACAUUAUGGAGGAAACAAACUCUCUCAUAUGAUAAAAAUAUAUUUUGACUGGCCAAGUCAAAGUCUGCUUUUUUCAGAGGCAUGUUUGGAUUGUUUUUAAAUUCCAAAGCUGCUUAUUUUCCAAAAAAAAACAUAAAACUGCUUUAGGAAAAGUGACUUAGAUGUGAAGACUAAUUAGCAACAUAGAGAGUAUCUCAAUCUCUUGCUAUCUAUCCUUCCAUCAAUGUGGGACUCAUUCUCAACAUACCCCUUCACGUGUGGUAAAUUUUCAAACCUAGCCCAAUCAUGUGAGACACAUUCUCAACAUGCCCUCCCAUGUGAUGAAUUUUCAAACCUAAUACGUGAAUAACACAACGGGAUGACGUGAAACGCGUGUGGCUAUUUGACUUCACAUGUGGGACAACAUGUUCUGAUACCAUGAAAAAAUCCCGGCACAGGUUUUAUCGACAAUGCACGUAACGUCGCCGCAAGUUCGAUACAUAACAGAAGAUCCCGGCACAGGUUCUAUCGAGCGAGAUCCACAACCGAACCAUUUGCGGUACUCGGGAUAGGCAGCGACAUCGAAAUUGAAAGGUUAUUCUCGGCUUCAGUGUUUUCCAGUAAUAUGACAUAGAUGAGAAAUAAUUUACAGGUUCCAUUUCCUUUAAAAUCUCACAACUAUAAAGUCUGUGUCGUCCGGUGAAGAGGUUUGAUACAUUUCUAAGAUUAAAUUACCAAAAGAGAAAGAUUACACAUGUUUGAGUGAUGCAAAUCCUGUGCUCUAGGCAAGCAUUUCAUGCAUAACUUACUGCACGGGCUGCGGCUGACUUGUAACAUCAGUUCCGUUUCUGCUCCCAGCCAUUCCUGCCCCGUUAGUAGUUGCCAAAUCACUGAAAGGAAGUUGAUGAUGAGGACCAGAUGUAGUUGAAGAUGAUAUAUGUAACGGGUGGUCAAAUUUACAAGCUGGCCCAAAUUUGCAAAGGCCAUAGCGACUGUAAUGUGUGCAAAUGCUCUGAUCCUGGAUUUUGAAACAAAUUGUGUGAUCAAUGGCGUGCAAUCAUGUAAUAUGCGAUCAAACUGUGGCUCUUAGAACAGAGGGAAGAGAACAAUUAGUUAAUAAUAUUUAUGAUUCGGGAACAAUUGUCCUCGCAUAGUAAUUCAUUUGUUUUAACUUCACGUAUCACAAAGUGAAAACCUUUCUAAGAUCAUAUUUCGAAAUUAUGAACUUGUUAUAAAUGGCAUAGGGUGAACUUAC
rnacentral:lncRNA from 1 species